rnacentral:rRNA from 1 species
UACAGAGGGUGCGAGCGUUAAUCGGAAUGACUGGGCGUAAAGGGUGCGUAGGCGGUUUGUCGCGUCGGGAGUGAAAACCUUGGGCUUAACUCAGGGCUUGCUUUCGAUACGGGCAGACUAGAGGUAUGCAGGGGAGAACGGAAUUCCUGGUGUAGCGGUGAAAUGCGCAGAUAUCAGGAGGAACACCGGUGGCGAAGGCGGUUCUCUGGGCAUGAUCUGACGCUGAGGAGCGAAAGUGUGGGGAGCGAACAGG